UACGUAGGGUGCAAGCGUUAAUCGGAAUUACUGGGCGUAAAGCGUGCGCAGGCGGCUUUGCAAGUCAGAUGUGAAAUCCCCGGGCUUAACCUGGGAACUGCAUUUGUGACUGCAUGGCUGGAGUGCGGCAGAGGGGGAUGGAAUUCCGCAUGUAGCAGUGAAAUGCGUAGAUAUGCGGAGGAACACCGAUGGCGAAGGCAGCUCGCUGGGACGGUACUGACGCUGAGGCGCGAAAGCGUGGGGAGCAAACAGG
rnacentral:rRNA from 1 species